UGGGGAUUUCGGCAUGGGCGCAAGCCUGAUCCAGCCAUGCCGCGUGCAGGAUGAAGGCCUUCGGGUUGUAAACUGCUUUUGUACGGAACGAAACGGCCUUUUCUAAUAAAGAGGGCUAAUGACGGGUACCGUAAGAAUAAGCACCGGCUAACUACGUGCCAGCAGCCGCGGUAAUA
rnacentral:rRNA from 1 species